rnacentral:misc_RNA from 1 species
GAUGAAGAACGCAGCGAAAUGCGAUAAGUAAUGUGAAUUGCAGAAUUCAGUGAAUCAUCGAAUCUUUGAACGCACAUUGCGCCCGCCAGUAUUCUGGCGGGCAUGCCUGUUCGAGCGUCAUUACAACCCUCAGGCCCCCGGGCCUGGCGUUGGGGAUCGGCGGAAGCCCCCUGCGGGCACAACGCCGUCCCCCAAAUACAGUGGCGGUCCCGCCGCAGCUUCCAUUGCGUAGUAGCUAACACCUCGCAACUGGAGAGCGGCGCGGCCACGCCGUAAAACACCCAACUUCUGAAUGUUGACCUCGAAUCAGGUAGGAAUACCCGCUGAACUUAAGCAUAUCAAUAACGGAGGA